AGCUUUCAGGGGCGGGCUUGAUGAAACAGACUUGUCCUCCCUGCCUGCCUGUCUGGGCUGGGGCUAGUGUUUACAUCUGACUCUUUCUAUCCAUGGUAGCAUUGGGGGAAUCUUUGAAGAUCUCAGCCUUCCUUCUUCACCUUCUUGCAGCACCAUGUGAUCCACCGGCAAGGGAGGGCACCAAUGGAAGGCGUCCGAUAAGUAAACAUGGGAGAAAACAUCAUUCACCAAUAAUUUUUAGUAUUUUAGCACUAUUUUUGGAUAUUCAGCUAUGAAGAAUUCAAAUGAACAGGACAUCCAUCACUUGAGUGAGUCUUCAAGUGUCUUCCCCCUCUUCUGGGUCAGCUUGAUGAAGCAGCUGAGAAAAAGCAUGAACUGUGACUUCACUUCAGGGCAGCAACUCGAGCGAGUGUCCCCUGAGCGGGGUUCUGGACAGCUGAACAGACUUAGCUUGGGGAAGAAUAAAGCAAACCAUAAAAGCCCCUCCUGGACUGUCAUGGAUGAGAAUGUUGUCCACGGGCUCAGCUGGCCAUGCUGUUUGGGGAGCUGUGAGACCUUUAGGAUGUGAAACCCGGCUGAAGGAACUAGGCCCUGUGGGGAUGGCCUUGUGGUUUCUAGUCUGGCCCCAAUUUGUCCCAUCAUCUGCUGGUCCAACAAUGGGCCACUCCUGCUUAAGCUACCAUGAAUAACUGUACUUUAAACCAUCAGCUAAAAAUAAGCCCUUCUCCCUCUAACUUCCUUCUUGUUGGGUGUUUGAUUGCAGCAAUGAGAAGGUAACUUAGUUGGUCCAGAAGCACAGGUGACAACCUUCAACAUUCAGAUGUUGCUGGUGCUUAGAGAUAGUCUUUUACUCAAUGGUGGUCAAUAGAUGGAAACAUAAGUAGGAAAUAACCCAUGAAAACAAAUCCCUUUGCUCACCCUGUGCCAGGAAUGGAAGAAGAUUAAAAACAGCACAGUAGAAACCUUACUCUGCAGCAUCCACUAAGGAAGUAAGCCAUCC
rnacentral:lncRNA from 1 species